AUUGAACGCUGGCGGCAGGCUUAACACAUGCAAGUCGAACGAGUGGCGGACGGGUGAGUAAUGCUUGGGAAUCUAGCUUAUGGAGGGGGAUAACUACGGGAAACUGUAGCUAAUACCGCGUACCAUAGGAUGAGCCCAAGUGGGAUUAGGUAGUUGGUGGGGUAAAGGCUCACCAAGCCGACGAUCUCUAGCUGGUCUGAGAGGAUGAACGGCCACAUUGGGACUGAGACAAGGCCCAGUCUCCUACGGGAGGCAGCAGUGGGGAAUCUUCCGAAAUGGACGAAAGUUGACGGAGAAACGCCGCGUGAGUGAUGACGGCCUUCGGGUUGUAAAGCUCUGUUAAUCGGGAGACGGUACCGGAAGAGAAAGCCACGGCUAACUACGUGCCAGCCGCCGCGGUAAUUC
rnacentral:rRNA from 1 species